rnacentral:rRNA from 1 species
GAGUUCACAUCGACGGGGAGGUUUGGCACCUCGAUGUCGGCUCAUCGCAUCCUGGGGCUGUAGUCGGUCCCAAGGGUUGGGGCUGUUCGCCCAUUAAAGCGGUACGCGAGCUGGGUUCAGAACGUCGUGAGACAGUUCGGUCCCUAUCCGUCGUGGGCGUAGGAAAUUUGAGAGGAGCUGUCCUUAGUACGAGAGGACCGGGAUGGACAUACCUCUGGUGUACCAGUUGUCGUGCCAACGGCAUAGCUGGGUAGCUAUGUAUGGACGGGAUAAGUGCUGAAAGCAUCUAAGCAUGAAGCCCCCCUCAAGAUGAGAUUUCCCAACUUCGGUUAUAAGAUCCCUCGAAGAUGACGAGGUUAAUAGGUUCGAGGUGGAAGCGUGGUGACACGUGGAGCUGACGAAUACUAAUCGAUCGAAGACUUAAUCAA